GAUGAACGCUGGCGGCGUGCCUAAUACAUGCAAGUCGAGCGAACAGACGAGGCGCUUGCUCCUCUGACGUUAGCGGCGGACGGGUGUGUCACACGUGGAUAACCUCCCUAUAAGACUGGGAUCACUUCGGGAAACCGGAGCUAAUACCGGAUAAUAUAUUGAACCGCAUGGUUCAAUAGUGAAAGACGGUUUUGCUGUCACUUCUCGAUGGAUCCGCGCCGCAUUAGCUGGUUGGUUAGGUAACGGCUUACCACGGCAACUAUGCGUAGCCGACCUGCGAGGGGGGUCGGCCACACUGGAAGUGAGACACGGUCCAGAAGACUGCGGGAGGCAGCAGUAGGGAAUCUUCCGCAAUGGGCGAAAGCCUGACGGAGCAACGCCGCGUGAGUGAUGAAGGUCUUCGGAUCGUAAAACUCUGUUAUGAGGGAAGAACAAAUGUGUAAGGAGCUAUGCACGGCUUGACGGUACCGAAUCAGAAAGCCACGGCUAACUACGUG
rnacentral:rRNA from 1 species